rnacentral:rRNA from 1 species
GAUGAACGCUGGCGGCGUGCCUAAUACAUGCAAGUCGAGCGAAACUUCGUUAUCACCGCGUGCUUGCACUCACCGAUAAAGAGUUGAGUGGCGAACGGGUGAGUAACACGUGGGCAACCUGCCACAAAGAGGGGGAUAACACUUGAACACAGGUUCUAAUACCGCAUAACCAUCGUUACCGCAUGGUAACUUUGUAAAAGCUGGUUAUACUACCCGCGGUGCAUUAGCUAGUUGGUAAGGUAAAGGCUUACCAAGGCAACGAUGCGUAGCCGAAUUGAGAGGGUGAUCGGCCACAUUGGGACUGAGACACGGCCCAAACUCCUACGGGAGGCAGCAGUAGGGAAUCUUCCACAAUGGGCGAAAGCCUGAUGGAGCAACGCCGCGUGGGUGAAGAAGGUCUUCGGAUCGUAAAACCCUGUUGUUAGAGAAGAAAGUGCGUGAGAGUAACUGUUCACGUUUCGACGGUACCUAACCAGAAAGCCACGGCUAACUACGUG